rnacentral:rRNA from 1 species
AGCUCCAGUAGCGUAUAUUAAAGUUGUUGCAGUUAAAAAGCUCGUAGUUGGAUUUCUGGUAUGUCGGAACUGAUCCGCGGUUAAUAAUCGUGAGUAUUGGACUUCCGACUGCCAUCCUUCUAGAAAACGAUCUACCCUUCACUGGGCCGGAUUCGCGAUCUAGAACUUUUACUUUGAAGAAAUUAGAGUGUUCAAAGCAGGCUUGCGCUAUGAAUACAUUAGCAUGGAAUAAUAACUUAGGACUUCGGUCUUAUUUUGUUGGUUUCUAGGACUGAAGUAAUGAUUGAUAGGGAUAGUUGGGGGUGCUAGUAUUCAACGGCCAGAGGUGAAAUUCUUGGAUUCGUUGAAGACUUACUUAUGCGAAAGCAUUCACCAAGGAUGUCUUCU